UACGUAGGGACCAAGCGUUGUUCGGAUUUACUGGGCGUAAAGGGCGCGUAGGCGGUAAUUCAAGUCAGUUGUGAAAUCUCCGAGCUUAACUCGGAACGGUCAACUGAUACUGCUUUGCUAGAGUGCAGAAAGGGCAACCGGAAUUCUUGGUGUAGCGGUGAAAUGCGUAGAUAUCAAGAGGAACACCUGAGGCGAAGGCGGGUUGCUAGGCUGACACUGACGCUGAAGCGCGAAAGCUAGGGUAGCAAACGGG
rnacentral:rRNA from 1 species